UCUUGAAAUGUGGCCCAAAACUUUACUAACUCGACCACACCCUUCGCUCAUUUAGCCUAGUUCCAGAGGUAAGAAAAUAUCUAUCCUUUUUGGGUCCAAAUCUUUGAAACUCCUCUAUUCCUUCCCCUUUCAACCUAAUGGACCACCUCGCCCCUCCUUUGCCUCUUAAAUCUCAACGCAAAACUCAUCUCACACUGGCCAGUGGAUUGUCCUGCUCGAGGGAAAGAACAAAUUCCUUAAUUUUUGGUUUGCGGUGUUUUUGGGUAGAUGGCUUUUCGAGGUCGGGGGCGGGGGCGUGGAUAUGGAGGCGCAGAUGGCUAUGGAUUUGCCAAACAAGAGCCAUUUGAGCUUUUCACUGUUAUUGAAUUGCCUAACAUCAAAAGCGUGCAUAAGGAAGAAACCCUAGUUAGGGAGAGUGUAAAGUUGCAAAUUUUUGUGAAGGCCUCUGCUUAUUCUCUUGACGAGACUGUUUCUAAAAGGAAGCAUAUUUGAUUUUGUGUUGGAAUGGCAGCUUGCUUAUAAGCCAAUACCUCUAGGUUUUCACUAGAUUAUAUCACUGUAAUUUUUUUCAAUUCUCAGAUUUCUGGUGUCAGAUAGCCGAAGCACAGAGAUAGAGACAUAUUCUGACAUGACAAAACCAAAGACUACAAUAACUCGUGAUUCUCUUUCACAAAUUUUAGAGCUUAAAAGAUUUCCUCAAGAACUGAUCGGAGACCUUUCUCAUGGGCCCAUGGCACAAUAAAAUUCCCAGGUUCGAAGGGGCAACAGCCAAGUCAGAAAAAAGUUAGAUGGAAUCCAGAGUCAGGUUUGAUGAGAUAGAAUGCCUUUCUCGUUUGCUUUAGUAUUUUUGGGAUGUAUGCCAUCUAAUUUUCAUAUUUUUGGAAGUCUUACGUGCCCAAUCUUGAUAUGUUAUUGAUGGAGAUCAGUCCCUCAAAAGUGUUUGUUUGUAAAAAAUUUGUCAUUGCAAGCAUUUCAAUUUCUUUUGUCAAUAUGAGAUCAUUGAGUUUCAGUUUAAUGAAUGGAAAAGUCAAACCACUACAAUUCCAACUUCACAUCGACCCAUUGUUUAUGAUAAUUUCUCGAGUUUUUUGAGAUUUUGGUUACUCGUGUUUUUGUUAUUUUUUAUGUAUUAUAUUUUUAGUGUAUGACUAGUUCUGAUAUUCUCAACUUGGUAAAAUGAAAAUUUGAGUGCAACAACUUUAAUAUAUAUAUAUAUAUAUAUAUAUUGGAAAGCAUCAUCAGCAUUUAUGGUGAGAUGACAUUUCUAUAUAUCAUUGAUCUAUAUUUCUUUGUAGAUAGUUGUGCCCUACCAAAGUAUGUUUUUUUGGAUGUUAUGUUAAAUGGAGUGAAAUCUUUUCUCUGGCAGAGCUGCAGAAGCUAGAUUAUUUAGAAAAGCUAGAACAAAGGGCUCAGGUAAACGACUUCCAACUUUUGUAACUCUACUACAUACAUUACUUGGACAAAGAUCAUUUUGGUAUCACUUCUUAGAACUGCAUAUAUGAAUCAAUCUUGAUAUGCUCCUUGAUUAAGGGGAAUAAUCACAGAAUAUAAUGUUCUACCUGUUCCUAUCAGUACUUUGUCAGCCUCUAUUGUUCAAGGUCAUGCUCCCUUUUCAGUUUUCUCUUGAUUAGAUUCCUGUUUUUUCUGAUCCAUGUAAUUAUGUAGGGCCAAGAGAAUAAAGAUGAAAAGGACAAGAAAGAAGGCGAAAAUGAAGAUGAAAAUGAUGGAGAAGAAGACAUUGAGGAAGAACCUAGUGAUGAUGAUUAUUUUCAGGUUUCUAAAAACCAUAUGCUCUAUGUUCUGGAUUU